GUAGGGAAUAUUGCGCAAUGGGGGAAACCCUGACGCAGCGACGCCGCGUGAGUGAUGAAGGCCUUCGGGUCGUAAAGCUCUGUUGCAGGGGAAUAAAAAAAUGAAGGUACCCUGUGAGGAAGGAUCGGCUAACUUCGUGCCAGCAGCCGCGGUAAGACGAGGGAUCCUAGCGUUGCUCGGAAUCAUUGGGCGUAAAGAGGGCGUAGGUGGCUUGGUAAGUCAGGUGUGAAAGCCAAGGGCUCAACCCUGGAAGUGCAUUUGAUACUGCUGAGCUUGAGUGUCGGAGGGGUUACCGGAAUACCUGGUGUAGUGGUGAAAUACGUAGAUAUCAGGUGGAACACCGGAGGCGAAGGCGGGUAACUGGACGAACACUGACACUGAGGCCCGAAAGCGUGGGGAUCAAACAGGAUUAGAAACCCGGGUAGUCC
rnacentral:rRNA from 1 species